rnacentral:rRNA from 1 species
GUAGGUGACGUACCCCCAGGGCGAGGAUAGUCACGGGAAACUGUGGGUAAUACUCGAUAAUCUUCCUGUUCUUGAUAAAUGGGAAGCAAUGGGUGUGAUUCCACCUGGGGAGCGGCUUACGCAGUAUCAGCUAGUUGGUGAGGUAACGGCUCACCAAGGCUUUGACGCUUAGGGGGUGUGAGAGCAUGGCCCCCACCACUGGCACUGAGACACUGGCCAGACACCUACGGGUGGCUGCAGUCGAGAAUCUUCGGCAAUGGACGAAAGUCUGACCGAGCGACGCCGCGUGCGGGAUGAAGGUCUUCGGAUUGUAAACCGCUGUCAGAGGGGAUGAAGUAUACGAGAGCUAUCUUUUGUAUUUGACAGAGCCUCAGAGGAAGCACGGGCUAAGUUCGUGCCAGCAGCCGCGGUAAUACGAACUGUGCGAACGUUAUUCGGAAUCACUGGGCUUAAAGGGUGCGUAGGCGGUCAUCUAAGUCACGUGUGAAAUCUUCUGGCUCAACCAGAAAACUGCGCGUGAAACUAGUUGACUU